UAGGGAAUCUUCCGCAAUGGGCGAAAGCCUGACGGAGCAACGCCGCGUUAGUGAUGAAGGUCUUCGGAUCGUAAAACUCUGUUAUUAGGGAAGAACAAAUGUGUAAGUAACUAUGCACGUCUUGACGGUACCUAAUCAGAAAGCCACGGCUAACUACGUGCCAGCAGCCGCGGUAAUACGUAGGUGGCAAGCGUUAUCCGGAAUUAUUGGGCGUAAAGCGCGCGUAGGCGGUUUUUUAAGUCUGAUGUGAAAGCCCACGGCUCAACCGUGGAGGGUCAUUGGAAACUGGAAAAAUUGAGUGAAGAAGAGGAAAGUGGAAUUCCAUGUGUAGCGGUGAAAUGCGCAGAGAUAUGGAGGAACACCAGUGGCGAAGGCGACUUUCUGGUCUGUAACUGACGCUGAUGUGCGAAAGCGUGGGGAUCAAACAGG
rnacentral:rRNA from 1 species